rnacentral:misc_RNA from 1 species
UUUAUUCAUUUGCGUUUCAGUUUUGCACCUGCAACAGCUCGUAACGGAAAGGUUUUUGCAAGAAAUGUAUGGCUAAUGGAAACAUCAAUAAAUCACUAGGAGAACACAAUUGAAAAUAGCAUGCAUUUAUCUGAUGUGUCGUUUCAAUUAGGAUGCAAAAUGACUGUCGUAUUCGAAGUUCUUAUACUUGUAUUUUCAUUCUGGAUUGUUGCGUGUAAAAAUGACUGUAUAACAAUAGGUAUUAUUGCUAACGGAACAGGAUUGGUCGAGUCCGAGACAUUUGCAAAACAUGAACGGACCUUUGUGAUUGUAAAACAUCUCGUCGAUGUGGCAGAAAUCUUCUAUGUAUUCCGUGCAGUUCAAAGAUUGGACGAUAAUUCAAGUGUCGAUGUGAUCAUCUUGCUUGAGUAUGACACUACAGUUUUGAGAAUGCCACAGAUUUUGGCAACACAAAACAAGAAGCUAAUAAAACUAGGGGCUAGAUCUAGGCAUCAACAUAAGACACCGGUAAGCUUUAGAGAAAGGCAGAUGACGCCACGUUCAUGUGAUACUAAUGAUGGUUUUAUUCCUGACUAUACGUCUGACGAAGCCUAUUGUUUAACAAAUCUCAACAUCACAAACAUGAAUGGGGAUGAUGUUUUGUUGACAUUGCCGGUACCUCGGGCAAUUCGGUCUUUGGUAAAGUCUUUGAAGUGGCAUUUCAUAAUUAUAUUCUACGAAAGUUCGACAGAAACGGAAACGUCGGCGUUAGUUGAUGGAUUAUCAAAGGAUGGUGUACUUUUCGCUAUGUAUAACACUGAUCAUGUUGCAAAUGUGAAGAACGUUUUACAAGAAAUUUACCAGAGAAAUGGAGAAGUAAACAAAGAGAUAUAUGUAGUUGUUGUUUGCAGGCUUUACAAUACGAAACAGAUUAUUAAAUCUGCAAACGAAUUUGAUUCAUUAAAUAAUCGAACGACGCUUCUGCAAAUGUUCUCUAGAUGGUUGAUUGUGUUAUACGACUACAGUCGGGGUGCUUCCGAAGCUCUUCAGGAUUGUGGGAACGACCUUGACAACAUCGCCAUACUUGCAGUGCCAAAACUGCAAACCAUUGGUAUAGAGGGUUUCUAUAAAGGCAUUGAUUGCACUGUAAUUGACAUCCUAAGAGAAGAUAAAAGCCAUGACGAGUUUAGAAAGGAAUUCAUCGACAGGCUCGAAAAGAAAGCACCAUCUUGGAAUCCUAGUUAUAAAUGUAAGGGAUAUCACAUCGACACAUUGCUUUGGAAGGAACAAGGCAGAGCAUUCAGUUCCGUCGGUCAUGCUGAUAUCAACGGCAAUAUUGUCGUCAACUCGGACAUCUUUCCAAAUACAAAAUAUGGAUAUAACAGAAGAUCCUUUCUCGUAUCUACCUUAGAGUAUUCGCCGUUCGUCGAAAAAAGAAAGGUUAACAACUCCUAUAUUUACGAAGGAUUUUGUAUGGAUCUGUUAAGCGAAUUAGCCAACAAGCUGAACUUUACCUACAACUUGACUGAACCUGCAGAUGGGAAAUGGGGGAGUUUAACCAAUUCAGUGAAUAUUACAUUCAAUGGUCUUGUAGGACAGCUACAAAAAGAGGAAGUUGAUAUUGUAGCUGCCCCAGUAUCAGUGCAAGCUGAGAGAGACCCAGUGAUGGAUUUUAGCUAUCCUUACUACUACGAAUACACCACGGUGCUCGUGAAGAAACCAGACAUUAAUGCUACAAAAUGGAGAACAUUGAUAGAUCCUUUCAAAUGGGAAGUUCUUAUCACCAUAGGAGCGUCUUUGUUGAUAGUUACAAUUUUAACAUUUAUCCUUGAGAAGUACAAUCCGUUCUAUGAUAUACCACAGCAUGCUGAAAGCAGACAAAUCAAUGGUGGCCUUCACACCUGGCAUAGUUCAUUUUGGUAUGUCUUUGGAGCACUAUUAUGUCAAGGUGGUGUGCACUUACCAGAAUCAACAUCCGGGCGAACAUUGAUGAGUUGUUGGUGGUUAACCUGUAUAAUUAUUGUCGGUACAUACAGUGGGAACCUCAUUGCCUUUCUAACAGUGACCAAAGAAAGGCCUCCUUUCAAUACCCUGGAAGAAAUGAAUAACUUAAAGGAACUCCAGCCACCCGGCAUUUAAAAAGAUGGGAGAGGCAUAUAUAGAAUUCAGCAAAACGGACCCAACAAUAUUGCACCAAAAUCCAGACUUUCAUGUCGAAAGAGUGAAAAAAGGAAAGUAUGCAUGGAUAGGUGAUAAAACAUACAUGGAGAUUGCAAUGGCAACAGAAUGCAAUCUUAUGUCUAUCAAGGAAGAAUUUAUGCCGCUUAUAUACGUGUUUGGUUUCAAGAACAACUCCCCGCAUGCCGCAAUUUUCUCAACACA